UGCGGAUUAUUCGAUGCAACGCGAAGAACCUUAUCAAGGCUUGACAUGCACGGGAAAGUUCCAGAGAUGGUUCCCCCGCAAGGUCCGUGCACAGGUGGUGCAUGGUUGUCGUCAGCUCGUGUCGUGAGAUGUUGGGUUAAGUCCCGCAACGAGCGCAACCCUUGUCUCAUGUUGCCAGCACGUUAUGGUGGGGACUCAUGGGAGACUGCCGGGGUCAACUCGGAGGAA
rnacentral:rRNA from 1 species